GGAGAGCUGAGCCCGGGCAGCAGCGGGCGGCGUCGAGCGGGGCUGAGCGGCGCGGGCUGGUGCCCAGCGGCCGGGCGGGGAGGGUCGGUACCCGCCGCUGCGAGGGCUGAAGCGGGCGGUCAGCGGGAGCGAAGAGCCGCGCCGCCACCGCCGCCAUGGGGAACCGCGGGAUGGAAGAUCUGAUCCCGCUGGUCAACCGGCUGCAGGACGCCUUCGCCGCCAUCGGACAGAACGCCAACCUCGACCUGCCGCAGAUCGCCGUGGUCGGGGGGCAGAGCGCCGGCAAGAGCUCGGUGCUGGAGAAUUUCGUCGGGAGGGACUUUCUGCCACGUGGCUCUGGCAUCGUGACCAGACGUCCGCUGGUCCUGCAGCUGGUGAAUGCCAGCACAGAAUAUGGCGAGUUCCUACACUGCAAAGGAAAGAAAUUCACGGAUUUUGAGGAGAUCCGUUUGGAGAUUGAGGCUGAAACGGAUCGUGUUACUGGCUCCAACAAAGGGAUUUCCCCAGUGCCCAUCAACCUCAGAGUCUAUUCUCCUCAUGUCCUGAACCUGACGUUGGUGGAUCUACCAGGCAUGACCAAAGUCCCGGUGGGGGACCAGCCCCCUGACAUAGAGUUCCAGAUCCGAGAUAUGCUUAUGCAGUUUGUCACCAAAGAGAAUUGCCUCAUCCUGGCAGUAUCCCCAGCCAACUCUGAUUUGGCCAACUCUGAUGCCCUGAAGGUUGCAAAGGAGGUGGAUCCUCAAGGGCAACGCACAAUUGGAGUCAUCACUAAGCUGGAUCUUAUGGAUGAAGGAACUGAUGCAAGAGAUGUAUUAGAGAAUAAAUUACUUCCUCUUCGCAGAGGUUACAUUGGUGUAGUCAACAGAAGUCAGAAGGACAUUGAUGGCAAGAAGGACAUUCAGGCAGCUCUGGCUGCAGAGAGAAAGUUUUUUCUCUCCCACCCAGCCUACAGACACAUGGCUGAUCGCAUGGGAACCCCCUACCUGCAGAAAGUGUUGAACCAGCAACUGACCAACCACAUCCGUGACACCCUGCCGGGGCUGCGGAACAAGCUGCAGAGCCAGCUUCUCUCCAUUGAGAAAGAGGUGGAGGAGUAUAAGAACUUUCGCCCUGACGACCCUGCUCGCAAGACCAAAGCUCUGCUUCAGAUGGUCCAGCAGUUUGCUGUGGACUUUGAGAAACGCAUUGAAGGCUCUGGAGACCAAAUUGAUACCUAUGAGCUGUCAGGAGGAGCUAGAAUUAACCGCAUCUUCCAUGAACGUUUCCCUUUUGAACUGGUGAAGAUGGAGUUUGAUGAGAAGGAGCUGCGACGGGAGAUUAGCUAUGCCAUCAAGAACAUCCAUGGUAUCAGAACCGGUCUCUUCACACCCGACAUGGCCUUUGAGACCAUUGUGAAAAAGCAGGUGAAGAAGAUUAAAGAGCCUUGCCUGAAAUGCGUGGACAUGGUUAUUUCGGAGUUAAUCAAUACCGUUAGACAGUGCACCAAGAAGCUCAGCCAGUACCCUCAUCUGCGUGAGGAGAUGGAGAGGAUUGUGACUACUCACAUCCGUGAGCGGGAAGGCAGGACCAAAGAUCAGGUGAUGCUUCUCAUAGACAUUGAGCUGGCAUACAUGAACACAAACCAUGAGGAUUUCAUUGGCUUUGCCAAUGCUCAGCAGAGGAGCAGCCAGAUGAGCAAGAAGAAGGCAGCUGGCAACCAGGAUGAGAUCCUGGUCAUCCGAAAGGGCUGGCUCACCAUCAACAACAUUGGGAUCAUGAAGGGUGGCUCCAAGGAGUACUGGUUUGUCCUGACAGCAGAGAACCUCUCCUGGUACAAGGACGACGAGGAGAAAGAGAAGAAGUAUAUGUUGCCAGUGGAUAACCUGAAACUGCGAGAUGUUGAGAAGGGGUUCAUGUCCAGCAAGCACAUCUUUGCUCUCUUCAACACUGAACAGAGGAAUGUUUACAAGGACUACCGACAGCUGGAGCUGGCCUGUGAGACCCAGGAGGAGGUGGAUAGCUGGAAGGCUUCUUUCCUUCGUGCAGGCGUCUACCCAGAACGUGUUGGGGACAAGGACAAAGCCAGUGAAGCGGAGGAGAAUGGAUCGGACAGUUUCAUGCACUCCAUGGAUCCUCAGCUGGAGAGACAAGUGGAAACCAUCAGGAAUCUGGUGGAUUCCUACAUGGCAAUUGUCAACAAAACCAUCAGAGACCUCAUGCCGAAGACAAUCAUGCACCUCAUGAUUAACAAUACUAAGGACUUCAUUCAUUCGGAGCUGCUGGCGAACCUGUACUCCUGUGGUGACCAGAAUACGCUGAUGGAGGAAUCAGCAGAGCAGGCCCAGCGACGCGACGAAAUGCUGCGCAUGUACCAUGCCCUGAAAGAGGCCCUCAACAUCAUCGGGGACAUCAACACCAGCACUAUCAGCACCCCAAUGCCCCCACCGGUGGACGACUCUUGGCUGCAGGUCUCCUACGUCCAGCCCCACACCGCAAAGGAGAGCUCCCGCUGUGCCGCCCGCCAGGCCUGGCUCUCGAGGCCCAGCUCCUGGGCCACCUCCUGCUGGUGGGUCAGCGCUGGGUGGUGCCCCCCCUGUGCCCUCCAGGCCAGGUGCCUCUCCUGAUCCCUUUGGGCCCCCACCUCAGGUUCCUUCUCGACCUAAUCGUGCUCCUCCUGGUGUUCCCAGCAGAAGGGGCCCUGCCUCACCUACUCGACCUACCAUAAUCCGACCGGCUGAACCGUCCCUCUUAGAUUUAUAACUCGAGGCUGCAGACAGCUGGCGACGAGCGCCGUGCUGGCGGCUUCCCCAUCCCACCUCCCUCCACAGCCACAGUCACUCCUCAUCCAUCCCACACCCGCCUCCCCCCGCCCCUUCCCGGUGUGUCGUGCAGCUCUAGCCUAGUGAUCGAGCUCUUCGUCUCCACUCGUGCGUCCCGUAUUGCUUUGUGAGUAGCGUAGCCUUCAUGCAGUGGCACGGAUCCCAGAAACACAGGCUCCUUGGAGAGAUCAGCCGCAGGGACGUCCCUAAGCCCGCGCGUUGGCUGUCCGUCCUGUUCUCAUCCGCCUGUCUGGCCUGGAUCAGUGUCCUGCCUGCAUCACCUAGCUGUAGCACCGCCUAGGACCGAGCUGUAGUUACUUCCUUGUAGUUCAGAAGAUACAAGCGUGACUUAGAAGCAAAAAACGCUGUCGAAAAACGUGUGACGCUCUUAGGAACAGGUGAAAUGUCCUGUGUGUUAGUUGGACUUCCAAGGUGCACAACUUCAUGUUGGGAACAGUGCAAUCUACCUUAUAGCAAAGCGAGGCAGGGAGGUGGAGGAGGGGGAACUCGAUGGGGAGCGCGCGGCCCUCAGCUUGCAGGGAGCACACGGCCAUGGUGCUCAGCUCCCGUAGAAGCCGGGGGGGGAUGCUGCUCCUGCCGGGCUGUGCCCCAUCGCGUUGGGCUCAGCCCCGACCCGGUGGGCUGGCAGCUGCUGCUCCCCCUCGCAGUGGGACAACCCAAUGUUUUCAGGGAGUUUGCUGCGUAAUGUUUUGUUGAAGCUAUUUCUGCUUGGAACAAGCCCAUCUUUCCGUGUUUUUUUUUUUGGGUACUGUGGUGACUUCUUCCGUAGCCUUUUCUUGCAUGCGGAUGGUACGUGUUUGGGGAACUUGUAACUGUUGCUUAAAAACAACUCGUCUCCCUGAGGCUUGAUUUCUACUCUUCAUGUUACGUGUAUUAAAAAUACUACAAAAAAAAAAAAAAAGAGACUUCAGAAUUAAAAAUAUACCACCCUGUGCAUCUCGGCUGUCGUGUCUCCUCCAGCAGCGAGCCACCCGUGCUGCAGCUUCCAGCUGCGGCCCAUUCCCACCCAGGUUAUCUUUCCCCAGUGUGCUUGUCUUCACUUUCUGUCAUGGCUCCUCUAUUGUUCUGACGCCGGUUCCUUUCUAUAUUUUAACCACUGUUUUACUGCUUCUCCCCCUCUCCCUUCCCUUCCCCUUCUCCUGUUUUGUUUUUCUUUGUCUCUUGACUUCCAGCCGGCCGGGUAAGGCCAGCCCCUCCCGCCCGGAGAGCCCCAAGCCACCAUUUGACAUGUAGUGCUGCUCCCUCCGAGACUCUUUGCCUGCUCUUAGCUGUUCUGUCCCGGAGCGUUCUGACUCAGCUCUCACGCGUGGCUUGUUCCGUUUGUAUUUGUGAUACACACCUCUCAGCUGUGACUGUAGUAAAGCUGUUUUUUUUUUUUUGAUUCCCAGCUGCUUCAAGGAGUUUAAAUGGUAGUAACGAGAAACGUAUCUUUACUGUUAUAAAUAUCUAUAAAUAUAUAUAUAUAUAAAGAUGGAAAAUCUAUAUAUGUCCAGGUGUUUAAAGCCGUUUGUGCUUCCAUGUGGAUUUUAGGAAACGCUUCAGUAGGGAAAGAAUAUCUAUCUACGUAUAUAUGCAUACACACCCCCCGAGAAGUGAACCAAAUCCCGGUGCUGUGUUUCUGAGCCCGGUGUGCGAUUCUCUGCCGUGUGCAGUGGGGUUCCCGUGUUACCCCCGCGCUGUGGGUGAACGUCUCGGUGCUGGUGGUAGCUGUGCCGCGCUCUGUGAUCUCCUGUCACUCUCGUUUAUUGGCUGAAAUAAACUGUCGUUUCUGUAUGA